UGUUUUUCUUCAGCAUUUCAUUUUAAAUAAAUUAUUCAAGUUUGAUUGAUUUUCUUUAUUUUAUUGGUCGAGUCUAAUGUUUGCAGAUCGAGUCGAACUCAUUUGGGAUAAUUUCUGAACCCAAAUCGCAUGCACCCCGCAAAUUAAGAUCCUCUCAACAUCUUCCUUCUCCCACGUCCCUUAUUCAUCCUUAUCCUUCCCAGCCGAAUCAAGUGACUCAGCCGGAUGGCCACACUUCCUCCCCAGCCAAAGGAAAUCUCUUCUUCCCGUUUAUAUCACCCCAUAUCAAAUUUCCAUCCUCUUCCAUGACAUUCAUCUAGCCGAAUCCAAAGAGAACCCAUCCCAAGCUCAUUUCCUUUCAGCCGACUUCCCAUUCUCCAUCGUCCGCAAGAUCAUCUUCAACUUCCAGAUAAGCUUCAAAUCCCUUCCUCCCAAACCGACCAAUCUUUAUCCCAACUAGAUUUCCAAGCUUCCCGUGAGCCAAAUCCUCCCAUUCGAAGCAUCCUCAGCUAGAUCCCAGUCAAGAUAAGUCUUCCGGAUUCCUCUGUUUUGGGAUUAAUCCCAGCCGAGAUCCUCUCGGUUCAUGGAUUGUAUUCCAUCUCUCAGCCGAGAUCCCCACGUCCACGAACAAACUCCUCUGUUCACACUUCCAGCCGUUCGACCAACGCCUUCCCAUAGUUUCUCCCAGCCGCAUUUAGCCAUCGGCAGAAUCCUCAAACUCCCAAACAUGGAUCUCAGCCCUCCUUCUAUCUCAGUUCAUCCUUAUCUUCCCAUCACGUAUCCUCCGGCAUCUUCCUUCACCCGAGAACAUCAUCCCCUGUUCCUAGACAAAAGAAAUCAAACUUUCAAACCGAUCAAUCCUUCAUCUAACUGGAUCAACUUCAAAUCUACUUCCCGAGCUGAUGGCAUCUCGAAUAGCUACAUCCCGAGUUUCAUGGAUUAACAGCUUCGAACUUCAUCCUGUUCUCCUCAUCCUCCCGAAUCAUUUGCGACCGCGCUUCAUCUCCCAGCCAUUCCCACGUCAACCGUAUCCUCCCCUGUUUCGGAACAUGAGCAAUAUCCACUCUCAGCUGUAAACACCAACCUCAUCAACUUUCUUCCUAGAUCUUGCUGCUCAUUCCAGUUGUGAUCCUUAUCCACGAACCCAGCGUCAUCAUCCUCUCUCACAUCCAUUUCCUCCCAAACAAUCUCCUUCUGGAUUUUCCCAACCGAGUUCAUCCUAUCUUACAGAUCAACCAUUAGCCAUCUCCCAACUCAUUUUCCCCUGUUCUGGAUUACUCCCAACGUCCCAAGCUUCCCGAACUUCCUCUCGUUCCAGAUCAACUUGUAUCUGAGAUUUCCUCUCACAAAUCCAAACCGAACAACCACCCAGUCGCUUUUUCCUCCGCUCAUCUCAUUUCGUGUUCAUCUUCCCAUCGCCCAGCUCGCUCCCAACUGUUUCAUCCAUGACGUCGUUCCAUCAUCCAGCUUCCACACGCGACGGAUUCCUCCCACGCAUCACAGCAGUCCGGAUAACCCUCAGCCAACCGCAAGUCUCCGCAUCUUCCGAGUCCCCUAGCCGUGAGCAUCGUCCACGUCGCCUCCACGUUGAAGAAGUGCAUCUACCGAACAGAGUCCGAAUUCCCAGCAUCCCGAUCAGCCCCAUCCAUCCGCUUCCAUCCUUAUCCGUGAAGAAACAGGAGAAGAGAGAGAGAGGAGUUGCAGCCUAUAAAAGGCCCGGGCGUGAACCGAGAAGG
rnacentral:lncRNA from 1 species